rnacentral:rRNA from 1 species
GAUGAACGCUGGCGGCGUGCCUAAUACAUGCAAGUCGAGCGAACGGACGAGAAGCUUGCUUCUCUGAUGUUAGCGGCGGACGGGUGAGUAACACGUGGAUAACCUACCUAUAAGACUGGGAUAACUUCGGGAAACCGGAGCUAAUACCGGAUAAUAUUUUGAACCGCAUGGUUCAAAAGUGAAAGACGGUCUUGCUGUCACUUAUAGAUGGAUCCGCGCUGCAUUAGCUAGUUGGUAAGGUAACGGCUUACCAAGGCAACGAUGCAUAGCCGACCUGAGAGGGUGAUCGGCCACACUGGAACUGAGACACGGUCCAGACUCCUACGGGAGGCAGCAGUAGGGAAUCUUCCGCAAUGGGCGAAAGCCUGACGGAGCAACGCCGCGUGAGUGAUGAAGGUCUUCGGAUCGUAAAACUCUGUUAUUAGGGAAGAACAUAUGUGUAAGUAACUGUGCACAUCUUGACGGUACCUAAUCAGAAAGCCACGGCUAACUACGUGCCAGCAGCCGCGGUAAUACGUAGGUGGCAAGCGUUAUCCGGAAUUAUUGGGCGUAAAGCGCGCGUAGGCGGUUUUUUAAGUCUGAUGUGAAAGCCCACGGCUCAACCGUGGAGGGUCAUUGGAAACUGGAAAACUUGAGUGCAGAAGAGGAAAGUGGAAUUCCAUGUGUAGCGGUGAAAUGCGCAGAGAUAUGGAGGAACACCAGUGGCGAAGGCGACUUUCUGGUCUGUAACUGGCGCUGAUGUGCGAAAGCGUGGGGAUCAAACAGGAUUAGAUACCCUGGUAGUCCACGCCGUAAACGAUGAGUGCUAAGUGUUAGGGGGUUUCCGCCCCUUAGUGCUGCAGCUAACGCAUUAAGCACUCCGCCUGGGGAGUACGACCGCAAGGUUGAAACUCAAAGGAAUUGACGGGGACCCGCACAAGCGGUGGAGCAUGUGGUUUAAUUCGAAGCAACGCGAAGAACCUUACCAAAUCUUGACAUCCUUUGACAACUCUAGAGAUAGAGCCUUCCCCUUCGGGGGGCAAAGUGACAGGUGGUGCAUGGUUGUCGUCAGCUCGUGUCGUGAGAUGUUGGGUUAAGUCCCGCAACGAGCGCAACCCUUAAGCUUAGUUGCCAUCAUUAAGUUGGGCACUCUAAGUUGACUGCCGGUGACAAACCGGAGGAAGGUGGGGAUGACGUCAAAUCAUCAUGCCCCUUAUGAUUUGGGCUACACACGUGCUACAAUGGACAAUACAAAGGGCAGCGAAACCGCGAGGUCAAGCAAAUCCCAUAAAGUUGUUCUCAGUUCGGAUUGUAGUCUGCAACUCGACUACAUGAAGCUGGAAUCGCUAGUAAUCGUAGAUCAGCAUGCUACGGUGAAUACGUUCCCGGGUCU